rnacentral:rRNA from 1 species
UACGUAGGGUGCAAGCGUUGUCCGGAAUUAUUGGGCGUAAAGAGCUCGUAGGCGGUUUGUUGCGUCGGCCGUGAAAACCUGCAGCUUAACUGUGGGCCUGCGGUCGAUACGGGCAGACUUGAGUUCGGUAGGGGAGACGUGGAAUUCCUGGUGUAGCGGUGAAAUGCGCAGAUAUCAGGAGGAACACCGUGGCGGAAGGCGGGUCUCUGGGCCGAUACUGACGCUGAGGAGCGAAAGCGUGGGGAGCGAACAGG